AUUGAACGCUGGCGGCAGGCCUAACACAUGCAAGUCGAGCGAGCGGCGGACGGGUGAGUAAUGUAUGGGGAACUGCCCGAUAGAGGGGGAUAACUACUGGAAACGGUGGCUAAUACCGCAUACCAUCGGAUGAGCCCAUAUGGGAUUAGCUAGUAGGUGGGGUAACGGCGCACCUAGGCGACGAUCUCUAGCUGGUCUGAGAGGAUGAUCAGCCACACUGGGACUGAGACACGGCCCAGACUCCGACGGGAGGCAGCAGUGGGGAAUAUUGCGCAAUGGGCGCAAGCCUGACGCAGCCAUGCCGCGUGUAUGAAGAAGGCCUUAGGGUUGUAAAGUACUUUCAGCGGGGAGGCGUUACCCGCAGAAGAAGCACCGGCUAACUCCGUGCCAGCAGCCGCGGUAAUUC
rnacentral:rRNA from 1 species